AUUGAACGCUGGCGGCAUGCUUUACACAUGCAAGUCGAACGGCAGCAUGGGUGCUUGCACCUGAUGGCGAGUGGCGAACGGGUGAGUAAUGUAUCGGAACAUAUCCGCAAGUGGGGGAUAACGUAGCGAAAGUUACGCUAAUACCGCAUAUUCCCUGAGGGGGAAAGGAGGGGAUCCGCAAGGACCUUUCGCUUACGGAGUGGCCGAUAUCAGAUUAGCUAGUUGGUGAGGUAAAGGCUCACCAAGGCGACGAUCUGUAGCGGGUCUGAGAGGAUGAUCCGCCACACUGGGACUGAGACACGGCCCAGACUCCUACGGGUGGCUG
rnacentral:rRNA from 1 species